rnacentral:rRNA from 1 species
GGCAGGCCUAACACAUGCAAGUCGAACGGUAAGAGUUUGAUCCUGGCUCAGGAUUGAACGCUGGCGGCAGGCCUAACACAUGCAAGUCGAACGGUAACAGGAAGAAGCUUGCUUCUUUGCUGACGAGUGGCGGACGGGCGAGUAAUGUCUGGGAAACUGCCUGAUGGAGGGGGAUAACUACUGGAAACGGUAGCUAAUACCGCAUAACGUCGCAAGACCAAAGAGGGGGACCUUCGGGCCUCUUGCCAUCGGAUGUGCCCAGAUGGGAUUAGCUAGUAGGUGGGGUAACGGCUCACCUAGGCGACGAUCCCUAGCUGGUCUGAGAGGAUGACCAGCCACACUGGAACUGAGACACGGUCCAGACUCCUACGGGAGGCAGCAGUGGGGAAUAUUGCACAAUGGGCGCAAGCCUGAUGCAGCCAUGCCGCGUGUAUGAAGAAGGCCUUCGGGUUGUAAAGUACUUUCAGCGGGGAGGAAGGGAGUAAAGUUAAUACCUUUGCUCAUUGACGUUACCCGCAGAAGAAGCACCGGCUA